UUUUUAAUACCAUACUUAAUUACUAAACACAUCUUUCUGUAAUUCCCCUUCUUAGCUAAUAAGAUCAAUUGCUUAUAUCUCUUACCCCCACUUUUCAAUCUGAAAUCAUAUAUAUUUUUCUCAUUUACCCCAUUUUCAUUCCAUAUUUUUCAAAUUUUGUCCCUCAUUUUAAAAUUUUUAAAAUUUAAAUUUUUUCAGGAUCAUCUUUUCGUAUAUUAUUCCCUCACCUUUAUAUAAUUCCUUCGUUCGCACAUUGUUCAUUUUAAUCGCGAUGCAAAGACGUCGACUCCGACAUCGAUGACGAUCUCCCCUCAAACGGUGCGUGUACUCAAGGGCUUAGGCGAGAGCUAUGGCAGUGGUAGUCAUAGUUGUUGUGCGUGGUGGUGGAUACAAAAGAGGAGGAGGUGGUGGUGAUGGUGCUUGCUGCAGCUGUGGUGGGAUAGGUCACAUGGCCACAUAUUACAACCAAAGAAGAGGCAAAUGUAGUGGUAGAUAUGACGGCGGAGGCGGUGGUGGAAGCUGCAACAAUUGGUGGGUAUUCUGGGCUUUUGCAAGGGACUGCCCAACAAGCUCUCACUGAAAAAUAAAGUUACUACAGAAUCUUUUGAGCCACCACUCUUCUUCUUGAGAUUAUGGAGAGAUUUGAACUAUGGAUGUAGCUGAGUUUGAAAAAAAAAACUAUUUGCAGCAAGUGAUGCUAAGGAGGUAACUUUAAUAAUUUUUAGUAUUUAAAAAUGAUAAAAGAGAAACAUUUUAAAGAUAAUCAAGAUGCUAUAUAUGUUAAUAAAACCAACUUGGUUUACACUUCGAGCACACGAUUAAGUUUGGUAGAAGCAAUGAUACAGAUGACAGAAAUUAAGAAUGAAAUACCUUCCUUUCACCAAAGCCUUCACUGUUAAAGGAAAGAAUUAUAGGCUAUAGAUUCUAAAAUUUAGUCUACUAAAUUUAAGAUAAGUAACAUUGUGAAGAUGUCCAGUAAUUACUCAAAAACAAAAGGAGACUUCUUACAACUUCAAUCUUUGGCCAGUAAUUGCACCGGUUCAUUCACUGGCAAACCUUUAAUAACUUGAUGUUAUACACAUUCUUUAGCUGAAGCAUUCUUGCAUAGAUUAGAUGUCUUGUUUGUAUAAUGUAGUCAUAGGAGGGAGUGGCUUUGUUGGUUCUGUCAUAGUCUUCUGAAUGCUUCUCCCUGUGCACUGUUAAAUGUCUUUACCUCUCAUAUAUGGUUAUUUAAUUUGAUCAUCCAACUUGCUCUGCCUAUCUAUGUUUGUUUAUUUUACUCAUGGCUGAGUUGUUCACCAUUCAUUAGUAGCAAGGUCUAAUUUUCCUAAUUAAUUACUAUAUAGAGGCUCAUGAAUUACUUUGUCCAUAUUAUAUUCCAAGCUCUUGAACUUUCAUAGAGUUGAAUAUAUAAUUAAUACAACCUUUAAUCUUCAUUUAGAAAGUUUUCCAUUUUAAAUUUGUGAUAGGUAACAAUUGCUAGACUUUUGAAUCUUACAUUUUUUUUUAUUUUGUUUUUUUUAGUUUAUGACAAUUUUUUAUUCCCAAUGUCUGCCAGAUCUCAAAUACUUCUAUCAUUCAUUUUGUAAUUGCUUCCUUCAUUUAAGUCAUGCCAAAGAUUGAAGUUGUAAGAAGCUUAGCUUCCUUUUGUUUUUGAAUAAUUACUGGCCAUCUUCACAAUGUUACUUAUCUUAAAUUUAGUAGACUAAAACUUUGGAAUCUAUAGCCUAUAAUUCUUUCCUUUAAUAGUGAAGGUUUUGGUGAAAGGAAGGUAUUUUAUUCUUAAUUUAUGUCAUCAGUAUCAUUACUUCUACCAAGCUUAAUAGUGUGCUCGAAGAUGAAGUUGGUUUUAUUAACAUAUAUACUUACAUAGUACCUUGCUUAUCUUGAACCUGCUGAAGAAAGGAUAAGAUUUCUUGCAUAGGUUGUCUUUGGAGAGUUAUGAUAUAUCUCAAAUUUGACCCCUUAAAUACAAUAUUGCUUGAAUAUAGGAUGAUCCUUUUAUGCAUACAAGUUAACUGAUUUUUUUGGGUAACGUUGAGAGUUGAUGAUAUAAAUAUAAAUCUUAGUAAUAUUUAUUAACUUUGACAUCUUUUUAUUUGGUGAUAGGUAUAUCUCUCUUAUUAAUCAAAAUUAGGGGAAAAAAUAGGGAUAGUGAUUGCAGUUGCAUUUUGAUAUGGAUAUAUUUGUAUAACGUUGAUGUGUGCAUGUGCCUUUGAAUUAUAAGCAUACUUCUAGAAUUUUUAUGUUUAAAUCUUAAUAGAAAGUAUUGUCAUAAAGGAUGCAUUUGUUUGUGAUUUUGGGGUGCAGAAAGUACCUUUCGUUUUUUUCAUAAUUUUAGUAUUGUUUAAUAUGUGAUUGUGGUAUAGAUAUUGUGGAUGCAUGCAAUUUUGGAUGUGAAAAUUUGAAAUGUUACUACAUCUUAAAUACUAUGCAUUCUUUGACUGAACUAGUGAAAUUCAAAUUCCAUAUCGACUUUUCUCUUAUAUGAUACAAAUGGGGAUGGAUUUGUAAUUAGCAAAGCAGCAGGUAAAAUUGAAGGCAUUCAUGAUAAGUCGCUAAAUGAAGCCGAGGUGACAGCAGCUACUAAAGAGAAAAGAACUCGUACUUUUGAAAUUAAUCCGUCUCAGUUGAAAUUGGUUAGCAUCCAAAUUUACAAAGACAUUUGAACUAUGGAUGUAGAUGAGUUUGAGGAAGAACUGUUUGCAGUAGCCAACAAGUGAUGGUAAGGGUUCAAGGUAUGAUCAAGAAGCUUUGCCUUCAGUUAGUAAGAAGAAACCACCAAUUUCUUCCUUCAAAUUGCUAAAGAGCAAUGAAACCUCCAACUUUACUCCUACACAAAUCAACAACAGCUUCUGAUUCUUCAAAGCGAGAUAACAGUAACAUUUCUGCUACCCCAACUAGCAGCAACAACAAGCAUGCUUAAUUACUAAAAGUGAAACUAAAUUAUAAUCUAUAUAAUCCUUCUCUAUGUAGCUUGUAAAAUUAUGAUCUUUUUCACACUUUCUCUAAUCUUACUUCAAUAUUUAAUCAUUGUGUAUCAUAGCUAUAGUAUUAUUUUAC